rnacentral:rRNA from 1 species
GAUGAACGCUGGCGGCGUGCUUAACACAUGCAAGUCGAACGGGGAUAAGGGGAGCUUGCUUUCCUUAUCUUAGUGGCGGACGGGUGAGUAACGCGUGGAUAACCUGGCCCAUACAGGGGGAUAGCAGCUGGAAACGGCUGGUAAUACCGCAUAAGCGCACGGUACGGCAUCGUACAGUGUGAAAAACUCCGGUGGUAUGGGAUGGGUCCGCGUCUGAUUAGGCAGUUGGCGGGGUAAAGGCCCACCAAACCGACGAUCAGUAGCCGGCCUGAGAGGGUGGGCGGCCACAUUGGGACUGAGACACGGCCCAA